rnacentral:rRNA from 1 species
UACGUAGGGGGCUAGCGUUGUCCGGAAUCAUUGGGCGUAAAGAGCGUGUAGGCGGCCCGGUAAGUCCGCUGUAAAAGUCAAAGGCUCAACCUUUGAAUGUCAGUGGAUACUGUCGGGCUAGAGUCCGGAAGAGGCGAGUGGAACUCCUGGUGUAGCGGUGGAAUGCGCAGAUAUCAGGAAGAACACCAACGGCGAAGGCAGCUCGCUGGGACGGUACUGACGCUGAGACGCGAAAGCGUGGGUAGCAAACAGG